UACGUAGGGCGCAAGCGUUGUCCGGAAUUAUUGGGCGUAAAGAGCUCGUAGGCGGCCUGUUACGUCUGCUGUGAAAUCCCGGGGCUUAACCCCGGGCGUGCAGUGGAUACGGGCAGGCUGGAGGCAGGCAGGGGAGAACGGAAUUCCCGGUGUAGCGGUGAAAUGCGCAGAUAUCAGGAGGAACACCAAUGGCGAAGGCAGCUCGCUGGGACGGUACUGACGCUGAGACGCGGAAGCGUGGGGAGCAAACAGG
rnacentral:rRNA from 1 species